AACGAACGCUGGCGGCAUGCCUAACACAUGCAAGUCGAACGAGACCUUCGGGUCUAGUGGCGCACGGGUGCGUAACGCGUGGGAAUCUACCCUUCGGUUCGGAAUAACAGUGGGAAACUACUGCUAAUACCGGAUAAUGACGUAAGUCCAAAGAUUUAUCGCCGAAGGAUGAGCCCGCGUAGGAUUAGCUAGUUGGUGGGGUAAAGGCCUACCAAGGCGACGAUCCUUAGCUGGUCUGAGAGGAUGAUCAGCCACACUGGGACUGAGACACGGCCCAGACUCCUACGGGAGGCAGCAGUGGGGAAUAUUGGACAAUGGGCGAAAGCCUGAUCCAGCAAUGCCGCGUGAGUGAUGAAGGCCUUAGGGUUGUAAAGCUCUUUUACCCGGGAUGAUAAUGACAGUACCGGGAGAAUAAGCUCCGGCUAACUCCGUGCCAGCAGCCGCUGUAAG
rnacentral:rRNA from 1 species